rnacentral:rRNA from 1 species
UCAAAGAUUAAGCCAUGCAUGUCUAAGUAUAAGCAAUUUAUACAGUGAAACUGCGAAUGGCUCAUUAAAUCAGUUAUAGUUUAUUUGAUAGUACCUUACUACUUGGAUAACCGUGGUAAUUCUAGAGCUAAUACAUGCUUAAAAUCCCGACUGUUUGGAAGGGAUGUAUUUAUUAGAUAAAAAAUCAAUGUCUUCGGACUCUUUGAUGAUUCAUAAUAACUUUUCGAAUCGCAUGGCCUUGUGCUGGCGAUGGUUCAUUCAAAUUUCUGCCCUAUCAACUUUCGAUGGUAGGAUAGUGGCCUACCAUGGUUUCAACGGGUAACGGGGAAUAAGGGUUCGAUUCCGGAGAGGGAGCCUGAGAAACGGCUACCACAUCCAAGGAAGGCAGCAGGCGCGCAAAUUACCCAAUCCCGACGCGGGGAGGUAGUGACAAUAAAUAACGAUACAGGGCCCUUUUGGGUCUUGUAAUUGGAAUGAGUACAAUGUAAAUACCUUAACGAGGAACAAUUGGAGGGCAAGUCUGGU